AACGUAGGAGGCGAGCGUUAUCCGGAUUUACUGGGUGUAAAGCGCGUGUAGGCGGUCGUGCAAGUGGAGCGUGAAAGCGCCCGGCUCAACCGGGCGAGGACGUUACCGAACUGCGCGACUAGAGGCAGGUAGAGGCGUGUGGUAUUCCGGGUGUAGUGGUGAAAUGCGUAGAGAUCCGGAGGAACACCAGUGGCGAAGGCGACACGCUGGGCCUGACCUGACGCUGAGAGGCGAAAGCAUGGGGAGCGAACGGG
rnacentral:rRNA from 1 species